UUUAGAUGAGCCUGCGUCGGAUUAGCUUGUUGCGGGGUAAUGGCCCACCAAGGCGACGAUCCGUAGCUGGUCUGAGAGGAUGAUCAGCCACACUGGGACUGAGACACGGCCCAG
rnacentral:rRNA from 1 species